UUCAUGCUGUGAGCAGCUCCGAGACUGCAUGAACGGUUCGCGGCUCCUUCUCCCCGAGAGGCAUCAGGGGAGCGUGGUCCUGGCUCCCCCUGCACCAAUGGAGACGGUGCUGGAAGCGAUGCAGGAGUUGAUGGGCGGAAGAGAUGUAUAAACACGGAAGCAGCGUGCCUAAUUAAUGACCUGAAACCAGCCAGAAAGGCACUGACCAAAGAGGCUUCUGCCAGGGGUGAUGCAGAUCCCACAUCUGAGGGAGGGGAAGACCCUCUGGCAGACAGAACAACAGUGUCCUCCUGCAGACCACACCAGUCCCCUGCAGCCAGCAGAAGGCAGGAGUUGUUUACAAAGUCCAGCAUCUCCUUGACCUCCCACCUGGCCUUGCCGUAGACUUAGAGGAAAUACGUUCAUUGGCCCGAGCAUUCGGCACGGCGAUUAAUUGAGAGCAGCCUGGAUCUGGAGCACCAAGUGAGCAUCAUUAGAGGCUGCGAGUGAGAGCACCGGGGCUGGAGUCUGGGUGAGUGAUCUGUACAGGCUGAGAGCUGGCAGCCCCGGGGCUGGGCGGGAUACCCGGAGCGUCACUGUCGCUCCUGUGCUGACACAAACCUCCCAUGUUGCUGUUGCAGCCAAUGCAGGUGCACGAUGCCAACACCGGUGCUGCCGGGGAGCACCUGGGGAGGAUUUCCAUGUGUGAGGCACCCUGUGGGAGAGCUGCCUGCCUCCCUUGGGGAGAGAAAACGGGGAGGCAACGCGGGGGUGUGCUCUAGGAGCGAGUGU